GAUGAACGCUGGCGGCGUGCCUAAUACAUGCAAGUCGAGCGAACAGACGAGGAGCUUGCUCCUCUGACGUUAGCGGCGGACGGGUGAGUAACACGUGGAUAACCUACCUAUAAGACUGGGAUAACUUCGGGAAACCGGAGCUAAUACCGGAUAAUAUAUUGAACCGCAUGGUUCAAUAGUGAAAGACGGUUUUGCUGUCACUUAUAGAUGGAUCCGCGCCGCAUUAGCUAGUUGGUAAGGUAACGGCUUACCAAGGCGACGAUGCGUAGCCGACCUGAGAGGGUGAUCGGCCACACUGGAACUGAGACACGGUCCAGACGCCUACGGGAGGCAGCAGUAGGGAAUCUUCCGCAAUGGGCGAAAGCCUGACGGAGCAACGCCGCGUGAGUGAUGAAGGUCUUCGGAUCGUAAAACUCUGUUAUUAGGGAAGAACAAAUGUGUAAGUAACUAUGCACGUCUUGACGGUACCGAAUCAGAAAGCCACGGCUAACUACGU
rnacentral:rRNA from 1 species